rnacentral:rRNA from 1 species
AUUGAACGCUGGCGGCAUGCCUUACACAUGCAAGUCGAACGGUAACAGGUCUUCGGAUGCUGACGAGUGGCGAACGGGUGAGUAAUACAUCGGAACGUGCCCGAGAGUGGGGGAUAACGAGGCGAAAGCUUUGCUAAUACCGCAUACGAUCUCAGGAUGAAAGCAGGGGACCGCAAGGCCUUGCGCUCACGGAGCGGCCGACGGCCGAUUAGGUAGUUGGUGGGAUAAAAGCUUACCAAGCCGACGAUCUGUAGCUGGUCUGAGAGGACGACCAGCCACACUGGGACUGAGACACGGCCCAGACUCCUACGGGAGGCAGCAGUGGGGAAUUUUGGACAAUGGGCGCAAGCCUGAUCCAGCAAUGCCGCGUGCAGGAAGAAGGCCUUCGGGUUGUAAACUGCUUUUGUACGGAACGAAACGGUCCUGGUUAAUACCCGGGGCUAAUGACGGUACCGUAAGAAUAAGCACCGGCUAACUACGUGCCAGCCGCCGCGGUAACAC